rnacentral:rRNA from 1 species
GUUGUGCCCUUGAGGCGUGGCUUCCGGAGCUAACGCGUUAAGUCGACCGCCUGGGGAGUACGGCCGCAAGGUUAAAACUCAAAUGAAUUGACGGGGGCCCGCACAAGCGGUGGAGCAUGUGGUUUAAUUCGAUGCAACGCGAAGAACCUUACCUACUCUUGACAUCCAGAGAACUUUCCAGAGAUGGAUUGGUGCCUUCGGGAACUCUGAGACAGGUGCUGCAUGGCUGUCGUCAGCUCGUGUUGUGAAAUGUUGGGUUAAGUCCCGCAACGAGCGCAACCCUUAUCCUUUGUUGCCAGCGGUCCGGCCGGGAACUCAAAGGAGACUGCCAGUGAUAAACUGGAGGAAGGUGGGGAUGACGUCAAGUCAUCAUGGCCCUUACGAGUAGGGCUACACACGUGCUACAAUGGCGCAUACAAAGAGAAGCGACCUCGCGAGAGCAAGCGGACCUCAUAAAGUGCGUCGUAGUCCGGAUUGGAGUCUGCAACUCGACUCCAUGAAGUCGGAAUCGCUAGUAAUCGUGGAUCAGAAUGCCACGGUGAAUACGUUCCCGGGCCUUGUACACACCGCC